rnacentral:rRNA from 1 species
UGAGGAAUAUUGCGCAAUGGGGGAAACCCUGACGCAGCGAUGCCGCGUGGGUGAGGAAGGCCUUCGGGUCGUAAAGCCCUGUCAGGUGGGAAGAACAGCUUCCGGGUAAAUAGCCCGGAGGUCUGACGGUACCACCGAAGGAAGCACCGGCUAACUCCGUGCCAGCAGCCGCGGUAAGACGGAGGGUGCGAGCGUUAUUCGGAUUCAUUGGGCGUAAAGGGCGUGUAGGCGGCCGGUUAAGUCAGAGGUGAAAGCCCGGGGCUCAACCUCGGAAGUGCCUUUGAUACUGGCUGGCUUGAGUUCGGGAGAGGGAAGCGGAAUUCCGGGUGUAGAGGUGAAAUUCGUAGAUAUCCGGAGGAACACCGGUGGCGAAGGCGGCUUCCUGGACCGAAACUGACGCUGAGACGCGAAAGCGUGGGGAGCAAACAGG